ensembl:lncRNA
GUUUGGGCCCUGUGUGUUCCUCUUUGUUCUCGGAGGGGGCUUUUGUCCUCUCUGAGAGGGCAGGAUGGGAGAGAGGAUUUAGAUCUCCACAUCAGUAGAUGACUGCAGCUGCUCCCAUCAGCAGCAGCAGCAGCACCAAAGGAAUGAGAAUCAGCAUGAACUUGCUGGAGGAUUCUACAGACACAAAAAAGAUUCCCAUGAGAGAGUUCCAAAAUGGCAGGGGUCAACAAAUGUCUAAAGGGUCUCUUCUAUGGAGUAAACAUCCUUUUGACAGUAAGUGAAAGAUUUAUAUUUGCUUAAAAUAGUUUCUCUG